CCCGUGUCCCCUGCAUUAGCAGGCAGAUUCUCAACCACUGCGCCACCAGGGAAGCCCCCCGUGUGUUGCUUUUUGAUUUAGCAACUCCUAACUGAUAACAUCACGUCACUUACUACCACUCAGUUUGCCCUUGAAGACUGUGGUGAUCUGACCUCACACACAGUCCAUGAUUCUGGAUGUUGCUCCAAACCCAGCUUUCAGAACUCAGGACCCCUAUCUGGAAGGCAGAGGUUGAUCAAAAUUCCUGAGUUACCCAGUUCCUCUGGGCUUCAGUUUGACUCUGACCCUGGGAUAAUCCCUAAAGUAGGGGCUUAAUCUGUGCAGACAUUCCCCCAGCCAGUUCUGCACUGUAGUUACGCUACACACAGCAGUCAGGGGCAUGCUCAGCUUCGGAUGUGAUGGUCCCAUCCCUAGAGAUGUUCUGGGCCACUGCCACUUCUGUGACUUGCCAUUUCCUGAUGUGCAUCUGACAAGGGAGGUUAGAGCCUCAAGGGAGUUGUCAAAAGUCUCUCACCCACUUUUUCCCUUGGCUGGGCAGUCCUCUGUGUCCACUGCAUUAGCGUAUAUUUGUUACUCCCAGAAUAUUGAACUGCUGCAUCCUAGUUCUUGCCCUGCUUUUGUCUACUUUUCUGAAGGUAUCAACUCUGUUCACAGAAAACACAGAGAGCUUUGAAUUUCUGAUUUUGCAUUUGGAAGUGGCCAUUUCCUGUCCUCCACCUGGGUAUUCCACCACUUAAAGAUUACCCCAUUCUGACAGUGGUGAGCAGCAUGUUGAGUAAUUCCAUGGAGUAGUCAACAGCACCAUGACAUUCUCUGGCAGGGGCAGUGUCCACGCCCAGAAGUCUGAGUGAUACUCUAGUCCUGCAGCCUCUGGGGGCACCUCCCCUUCCCCACCACAAAGAAUGGGGAGCCCACACUACUGCAGGCUGGAGCACACUACAGCAUGAAGGUAGAAGAGCAAGUCAACUGUUGUCUGGGAAGCAGUGUGACAGGUUCCUGGUCUGUGGAAGUGCUCUCUAUCAAGUUGGGCAACUGCCGGCCCCUACAAAUGCUGCACCUCAGCUCCAAGUUACAGGAGAAGAUAGUCUGUCAUGGUGGAAUCAGGACUUCAGGUUGAACGUAGACUUGGAAGCUUCCAGCAGCUUUAAAUACCCAAGUUCUCUAAAUUCAGCUCCCACCUAAUACAGGCCACCUGUGUGGGUAGGCAUCUCCUGUUAGAUGAUCAGCAACUCAUCCUUUCUCCCCUAUUGAGCUUCAGGUGAAGCAGCAUUUCAAGAGGUUGCUUGGAACUCUCCAUGCCCUGGGCUCACACAUGUUCAUCUGCAGCCUCACAUGGCUGGCAACCCGAUUCCACUAUAAACUUGGAAAACUGCUCACUGCUACAGAGAUCUGCCUUCAGUACUAUCCCUGUGGCCCGCCUUGUCCUCACUAUUACCUCCUUGCCUUGAAUCCCUCACAAGGAACAUAUUUCUCAGCUCGCUUUGUUGUUCCUUUUGUUUGUUUUUAAUGAGAGCUGCUGCCCCUUGGAAUGUGCUUGCAGUUGGGCUAAGGCCAAGACCUGCUGCCACUCAUCCCAGGGGCAGCUCCAGCAGCUGUUCUUCCACCAGCAUUAGUGCAAUCUGAAAGCCCUCCAUAUGAUUACAGUCCACUUUCCCUGAGCCCACCACUGUCAGGCUUGGGUCUUCAUGAAAUUAGACCUCUGAGAUGCCUAGUCACUCAUCCCUGGCUGGGGAGGCAAAAAGUAAAUGGCCUAUUAGAAAUGCCUGAGUCAACUUGGAUAUAUUUAUGAUAGUACUCUUUAUCUGACCAGACCAUUAGCAGUGGCUUUAUUAUAUUCUGCCAUAUGAUUAACACCUUAUGGUAUGACCUUCUCAACUAAGUGAGCCAAAAUUUGCCUGGGUGCUAUUUCAUACUUUUUAAAUCUGAAGUAGGUUUUCCACACUGGCAGUCUGACCUUUGGCUUAACCCCCCAGAAUUGCGUUUUUGAGAACUCUGAGUUAAAGUCCCUCAGCCACCUUUUCUUCUGCCAGCUGAUCUGCAUGGUAUUAGACAAGAGUUGAGCAAUUAUUUAUUUUUUUAAAUUUCUUUAACAUACUUUAUUUCAUAGUAUUUUUCAUGAAUACCUUGUUAUAGAAAAAGUCUAAAGUAAUGUAGAUAAUAUUAAGCUUAUAUUGGUGAAUUAGUUUAUAAAAAAUAUAUUCAUAUGAAUUGUCUUA